AUACGUAUGUGCUGUGAUAUGAGAACAGGAUUUGUUGAGGACUCAGUGUGGAAUUGAUUGUUGCGGGCCUCGACUGAAGAUCGUGGGGUGUGAGGGCCUGCCCAGAUUCGAAGAGGUUGUGUACGGAGAUCACAUCAAUGCCACCGAGUUCCAAGACAGUCUGGUUGGUCUGGUGGCGGACACCAUCCAACAAGAGAAGAAGAUCAAAGCGGUAUUGUUGGAGUGCACGGAACUUCCCAGGUACGCAAAUGCAUUGCGAAAGGCCACAAGACUGCCAGUUUACGACACUGUCACCUGCUGCGACUUCUUCAUUGACGCUCUCACCUUCCAACACAGAUAUGGAACUAGUUCGUGAUCCUCUUCGUGUGCGACAAGUCAAAAUGUUUUAAAAUGAAAACCAUCUCUAAAAUCUAACUGCUUUUCUCCUUUUCC